rnacentral:rRNA from 1 species
AGAUGGAUAGCCCCGAAGAAAAUUCGGAUUAAUACAUCGUAACAUCACAGGGUGGCAUCACCUCAUGAUUAAAGAAUUUCGCUUGGAGAUGGGCGUGCGCCUGAUUAGGUAGUUGGUGAGGUAACGGCUCACCAAGCCGACGAUCAGUAACUGGCGUGAGAGCGCGACCAGUCACACGGGCACUGAGGCACGGGCCCGACUCCUACGGGAGGCAGCAGUAAGGAAUAUUGGUCAAUGGACGGAAGUCUGAACCAGCCAUGCCGCGUGAAGGAUGAAGGUCCUCUGGAUUGUAAACUUCUUUUAUCUGGGACGAAACCACCUUUUUCUAAGGGUGUUGACGGUACCAGAGGAAUAAGCACCGGCUAACUCCGUGC